AAUGUCUCACACUAGCCCUUAGCUAUUCACCAUUUAAUUUCCUUAGCUAUUCACUAUUUAAUAUCUCACACUAACUAAUCACCAUACUCUGAACCAUGAUCUUUCCCCAUUCUAGAACAUUCUAUUGUGUGAUAUACAGUGUAUAUAAAGUAGUGGGAGAUUUGCCAUUUUUAAAAAGAAUAAUUUAUAUGGAACAAUUCAGCCACAGCAAACUUAGCUAUGUGGCAAUUCUAACCAAGCAAACUGUAUUUUUAUUGUGGCAAGGGUACACACUCAUAAUACUAAUCUGAUAUUCCAUUUCCCUAUAAUUGCAUCACAGAUUUUUCAAGAUUGCUUUUUUACUUCCUUUACAGAUACAGUCAGGCCAGCAAUGGUGCCAUGUACACAGGACCAGAUACUCCUUGUAGGUAUCCCGGAUGUCGUCUUGAUAAACUGCCGCAUGUUCACCAUUGUAACGGCUGAGGAUAAAGUCAUUAAAGAGUACCCAUCAACAAUACCUCAACGGAGCGAUGUGGUCAACUAAUGUUUUACAUGCUUGGUAUAAUGAUCCAGAAUGUCUCAGACAAUAACCAAUAUCAAUUGGGGCUAUUUAUUGAAGGAAAUCAAAUUUUGCUAUGCUAUGGUUCUGCUAGUGUAUCUGGGAGCAGGGAAGUGAAGAUAGAUUUCAAGGUCUCUCAAUUCAUUUAUCUCUUAGACGUAAAUUCAUUAAAAUUGAUCUGUGACAGCAUAUUAUCUGUUACAAACAUUAUUUUGGAGAACAAAUAAAAUAUAUGUACUUACCUUGCUUAUCCUUACUUCAUCCUAUG